AACGUAGGUUCCGAGCGUUAUCCGGAUUUACUGGGCGUAAAGCGCGUGCAGGCGGCCGCGCAAGUCGGGCAUGAAAUCUCUCGGCUCAACCGGGAGAGGCUGUCCGAUACUGCGUGGCUUGAGGACGGAAGAGGCGGGUGGAAUUCCGCAUGUAGUGGUGAAAUGCGUAGAGAUGACAUAGAACACCUAUUGCGAAGGCAGCUAACUACGCGAAUAUUGACGCUGAGGCACGAAAGCGUGGGGAUCAAACAGG
rnacentral:rRNA from 1 species